GAGCGCCGCUGUUUAAACUUCAACGGUUCACGGUGCUCUGAAUGCGCUCAGCGCUCGGUAGAACGACGAUUACAUUGCAACCCGUUUCUUUCAAGAAGCUAAAAGAAGAAAGGUGGCUUAUCGCGUUGUCCAGGACCGCUCAAUUCUCCGCCGGAAGAUUGGACCUAUACAUAUACAGGAAAAGAUUAAACAAAGUUUCAGUCAAAUCGCCGUCAGACAGCCGUUAUAAACAUGAAUUCAAACCAAGAAGAACAAAGAGAUAAGCUGAUGGAGAUGUUUCCAUUUUUUCUGUGGAUAACUAGAGCACUGUUAAAGUUUUAGCUCCACCUUAUCAGAGAGCUGAAAAGUGGGAGUCCGAGGAAACAUGACUAACCUGCUGCAAAACAACACAAAAGGUCUGGACUCUGGAGUGCAACAUUACUUGUUUGGUCAUCUACAUCCAGAUGAAAACACCACACUUUUCUCUAAUUCAAGAUGUCAAGCCUACUCAACGCAAAGAGAGUUAGCAUCAAAAUGGACGUGUCACUGACCAAUAACACAGAGAUGCCAGAAGUGUCUGUUUGCAGUCUACUUUUUGUUCUGUAUGGAGCAUCCAAAAUCCAUCAUUCAGUUAAUUUCAAUCAUUACUAUU